UUGAGAGAGAGAGAAAGAAAGAGAAAUCGUCGCUGGAAGGAAAGGGGAGCGUUGUUUUGUGAGUGGAUUUGCGAUUCCGCCUCCCCAGGGGGACAUGUGACCACGGGGCGGCGAUUUGCAUAGAUUUUGGUGUCGCCGCGCUCCAGACUCGCCUGCGAGUCACACCAGAGGGCCCAGGGUCUCCUAUCAAGGGGGAGGGUGAUUGAGCCAGCCAGCAACCACCCUCAGCCCCGACACAGAGAGACCACCAUCUCACCGCCUGCUCCGAACUCCAUUCCUACGUAUCACUGCUCCUACCCAGAGCAUUUGGUAGGGAAACCCAAACAGCAAAACAAAAAACCCUCACCAGUUGUUCCAUUUAAUCGCCAGUGUUUCGCAGUUACACUUUACUCUGUUUUAUGAGCCGCUUGUGUCCCAAUGUUCCAGACUGUAUGUGAGAAGCUGUUAAUGGCGAUGCAGAUGCUUAAAUAAAUUUCAAACCAUGGAAAGGAAUAACGAAGAUUCCCAAAUGUGUUCCGAACUUGUAAACUUCCAAGCAGGCGGCAGUUGGCAUUGUGUAAAUGCACAAAGCGUACACAAUCUCUGUUUAUGUGCGUGUGUGUUUGUGUGUGCCAUAUAUCUACAUGUAGAGAGAGAGAGACUUGUUUCCAAUCAAUUUCAGGUCAGUUUCACAAAGUUUAAAUCAACCAAUUUAAUGGCCGAACCCUGGGUAAUUAGAACGCUUCGGAAUUAUAUCGAAAUAGCAGAUCGUGAAAGGGUUUGGUGGGAUAAUUUGAAACAAAGGUGGUCCGGUCACAGUAUGCUCAUUAAGAUCUCGGCACUAACCUAUCAGAGAUGGCUGUAAUGAAUUUAAAUCUGGAUUGACGAAGAUCAGCAGUAACAUACAGUAUGCUUUAGUUAUUCGUGUACAAACUAUUGAAAAUCGGUUAGGAAUUCUGGCAGACAACAUCAUUAAUUUUAAAAAUGCAAGAAAGAAACCAGUUGACGAAACUUGUUACAAAUUCGUAUUAAGCGAUUUGACUUGCCUUGUUCACCCCUCCCCCCACCCCCAGCACAGCUCACGGGAACAGACGCUGUACACGCGUCCAGUUAUUUUUUGAUCACUCACAAUUCUCCUUCAACUCUUGUCAAAUAUUCUCCAAGGAAUUUCAAAUGGAAAACCUACCACUACCGUCCUUUCCGUCUGUACUCCUGUAAUAUGGGUCACUAGGUUUGACUUGCGCUCUGGGACAGUCGAAAAGGAAUGUUCUUAACACAGAGCUGAAGCGAAGGUAGACCAUCUAGAUAUUUACCAAGUCCCAGAACGCUCUCAAAAAUCAAUUUUCUAUCUGCCUGACGACUUCAUAUCAUUAAAUUAUUCAAAAUGCA